rnacentral:rRNA from 1 species
CUGCCAGUAGCAUAUGCUUGUCUCAAAGAUUAAGCCAUGCAUGUCUAAGUACAAGCCUAACUAAGGUGAAACCGCGAAUGGCUCAUUAAAUCACACCUAAUCUACUGGAAUGUUAGCAGUUACUUGGAUAACUGAGGUAAUUCUUGAGCUAAUACAUGCGAAAAAUCUCGACUCACGGAGAGAUGCUUUUAUUAGAUCAAAACCAAACAGCUUCGGCUGUACAACUGGUGACUCUGAAUAACUUUGGGCUGAUCGCAUUGCCUUGUGCAGGCGACAUUUCCUUCGAAGGUGUGCCCUAUCAAA